rnacentral:rRNA from 1 species
GAUGAACGCUGGCGGCGUGCCUAAUACAUGCAAGUCGAGCGAACAGAUGAGAAGCUUGCUUCUCUGAUGUUAGCGGCGGACGGGUGAGUAACACGUGGGUAACCUACCUAUAAGACUGGGAUAACUCCGGGAAACCGGGGCUAAUACCGGAUAAUAUUUUGAACCGCAUGGUUCAAUAGUGAAAGACGGUUUCGGCUGUCACUUAUAGAUGGACCCGCGCCGUAUUAGCUAGUUGGUAAGGUAACGGCUUACCAAGGCGACGACACGUAGCGGACCUGAGAGGGUGAUCGGCCACACUGGAACUGAGACACGGUCCAGACUCCUACGGGAGGCAGCAGUAGGGAAUCUUCCGCAAUGGGCGAAAGCCUGACGGAGCAACGCCGCGUGAGUGAUGAAGGUCUUCGGAUCGUAAAACUCUGUUGUUAGGGAAGAACAAAUUUGUUAGUAACUGAACAAGUCUUGACGGUACCUAACCAGAAAGCCACGGCUAACUACGUGCCAGCAGCCGCGGUAA